rnacentral:rRNA from 1 species
AUUGUACUGCGAAACUGCGAAUGGCUCAUUAAAUCAGUUAUCGUCUAUUUGAUAGUACCUUACUACUUGGAUAACCGUGGUAAUUCUAGAGCUAAUACAUGCUGAAAACCCCGACUUCGGAAGGGAUGUAUUUGUUAGAUUAAAAGCCAAUGCCCUCCGGGGCCUCCUGGUGAUUCAUAACAACUUGUCGAAUCGCACGGCCUUUGCGCCGGCGAUGGUUCAUUCAAAUUUCUGCCCUAUCAACUUUCGACGGCUGGGUCUUGGCCAGCCGUGGUGACAACGGGUAACGGAGGGUUAGGGCUCGACCCCGGAGAAGGAGCCUGAGAAACGGCUACUACAUCCAAGGAAGGCAGCAGGCGCGCAAAUUACCCAAUCCCGACACGGGGAGGUAGUGACAAUAAAUACUGAUACAGGGCUCUUUUGGGUCUUGUAAUUGGAAUGAGUACAAUUUAAUUCCCUUAACGAGGAACAAUUGGAGGGCAAGUCUGGUGCCAGCAGCCGCGGUAAUUCCAGCUCCAAUAGCGUAUAUUAAAGUUGUUGCAGUUAAAAAGCUCGUAGUUGAACCUUGGGCCUGGCUGGCCGGUCCGCCUCACCGCGUGCACUGGUCCGGCCGGGCCUUUCCCUCUGGGGAGCCGCAUGCCCUUCGCUGGGCGUGUCGGGGAACCAGGACGUUUACUUUGAAAAAAUUAGAGUGUUCAAAGCAGGCUUAUGCUCGGAUACAUUAGCAUGGAAUAAUGGAAUAGGACGCGCGGUUCUAUUUUGUUGGUUUCUAGGACCGCCGUAAUGAUCAAUAGGGACAGUCGGGGGCAUCAGUAUUCAGUUGUCAGAGGUGAAAUUCUUGGAUUUACUGAAGACUAACUACUGCGAAAGCAUUUGCCAAGGAUGUUUUCAUUAAUCAGGAACGAAAGUUAGGGGAUCGAAGACGAUCAGAUACCGUCGUAGUCUUAACCAUAAACUAUGCCGACUAGGGAUCGGACGGUGUUAUUACUUGACCCGUUCGGCACCUUACACGAAAGUACAAGUU